UACAGAGGUCUCAAGCGUUGUUCGGAUUCAUUGGGCGUAAAGGGCGCGUAGGCGGCGGGGUAAGUCGGGUGUGAAAUCUCAGAGCUCAACUCUGAAACUGCACUCGAUACUGCUCUGCUUGAGGACUGGAGAGGAGACUGGAAUUCACGGUGUAGCAGUGAAAUGCGUAGAUAUCGUGAGGAAGACCAGUGGCGAAGGCGGGUCGUCUGGACAGUUCCUGACGCUGAGGCGCGAAAGCGUGGGGAGCGAACAGG
rnacentral:rRNA from 1 species